UACGUAGGGUGCGAGCGUUUGUCCGGAAUUAUUGGGCGUAAAGAGCUUGUAGGCGGUUUGUCGCGUCUGCUGUGAAAAUCCGGGGCUCAACCCCGGACUUGCAGUGGGUACGGGGCAGACUAGAGUGUGGUAGGGGGAGACUGGAAUUCCUGGUGUAGCGGUGGAAUGCGCAGAUAUCAGGAGGAACACCGAUGGCGAAGGCAGGUCUCUGGGCCACUACUGACGCUGAGAAGCGAAAGCAUGGGGAGCGAACAGG
rnacentral:rRNA from 1 species